AGCGUUCGUAGCCAGCUUGGUAAGUCUUUCGUUAAAUCCAAUGAUCCAAUCAUUGGACUGCGGGAGAUACUGCUAGGCUAGGGGGCGGGAGAAGCUGAUGGUACUCUCAGGGUAGGGGUGAAAUCCUAUAAUCCCGAGAGGACCCCCAGUGGCGAAGGCGGUCAGCUAGAACGCGCCCGACGGUGAGGGACGAAAGCUGGGGGAGCGAACCGGAUUAGAUACCCGGGUAGUCCCAGCUGUAAACGAUGCGCGCUAGGUGUUGGGUCGGCCACGCGCCGUCUCAGUGCCGCAGGG
rnacentral:rRNA from 1 species